CCUACGGGAGGCAGCAGUAAGGAAUAUUGGUCAAUGGAGGCAACUCUGAACCAGCCAUGCCGCGUGCAGGAAGACGGCCCUAUGGGUUGUAAACUGCUUUUGAACUAGAGAAAACCUUGGUACGUGUACCGAGUUGAUAGUAUAGUUAGAAUAAGCAUCGGCUAACUUCGUGCCAGCAGCCGCGGUAAGACGAAGGAUGCAAGCGUUAUCCGGAUUCAUUGGGUUUAAAGGGUGCGUAGGCGGACUGAUAAGUCAGUGGUGAAAUCUCUCAGCUUAACUGAGAAACUGCCAUUGAUACUGUUAGUCUAGAGUACAGAUGAUGUGGGCGGAAUAUGACAUGUAGUGGUGAAAUACUUAGAUAUGUCAUAGAACACCGAUUGCGAAGGCAGCUCACAAAACUGUAACUGACGCUGAGGCACGAAAGUGCGGGGAUCAAACAGGAUUAGAUACCCUGGUAGUCCGCACCGUAAACGAUGAUUACUCGUUGUUGGCGAUAUGACAGUCAGCGACCAAGCGAAAGCGAUAAGUUAAUUCCACCUUGGGGAGUACGCCGGCGACGGUGAACGUUCAAAUUGAAUUGACGGCUUGGNGAGNGCGAGGACGACACGAGGAGGUAGG
rnacentral:rRNA from 1 species